rnacentral:rRNA from 1 species
AACGCACGCUAGGGUUACCGCGGCUGCUGGCACGGAGUUAGCCGGUGCUUCUUCUGUGAGUGAAUGGUCCUUCCUCGCCGGUCUACUUAACCCGCAAGGCCUUCUUCCUCCACUGAAAGUGCUUUACAACCCGAAGGCCUUCUUCACACACGCGGCAUGGCUGGAUCAGGGUUGCCCCCAUUGUCCAAUAUUCCCCACUGCUGCCUCCCGUAGGAUCUGGGCCGUGUCGUCAGUCCCAGUGUGGCUGAUCAUCCUCUCAGACCAGCUACGGAAUCGUCGCCUUGGUGAGCCGUUACCCUC